CGCCAUUCAAGACUGUGGAUGCAAUCAGAGGAUUCAAUGAAGGCAAAGUAGGAAAAACAGUGGCUGUGAUGAAAAGAUGAUGAUACUCCAGAGGAACUGACUCUGGGAAAAAUCCUCACAUUGAAGGUACUCUUGGAAGAGUUUCGCAAUGUGGGAAGCUCAAAGGACCAAGUGCUGGAAGCUGAUCUACCCUUAGAAAGAGCAUGACAGUUCACCAAGGCAGAGAAAAGGUGCUCAGCCUCUGUGCGACGUGAAGCUCCAGCACCCAGACCCCUGAAUUAUCUGGAUUUGAAUCCUAUUCAUCUAUUGAUCACAUGGAUGGCCUUGGGACGGCAAAUGGGCCAGAGAUCGGCACUGACCCUCAAGCAGACAUCCAUGGAUUCCCAGGACCUAAGAGAUGGUCUUACACGAGAGGAUCAUCCAGCCGCACUGCUUUGUGCUGUGUUUGGCCAACGAGUGAUGGCUUCCUCAAGUCCAGGGCUUCCCAGGUGGCUCGGUGACAAAGAAUCCGCCUGCCAAUACAGGAGACACAGGAGACUCAAGUUCAAUCCUUGGGUUGGGAAGAUCCCCUGCAGGAGGAAAUGGCAACCCACUUGCCUGGAAAAUCCCAUGGACAGAGGAGCCUGUCGGGCUACCGCCCAUGAAGUCUCAGAGUUGGACGCGAAUGAGCACACACAGGCACCUUGAGUCCAUCUGAAACAACAGGCUGCGUUACAAACCCUUAAACCCUCAGUCUUAUCUUUGGCACAGUCCUGGCGCUUGGUUUGGCUGAGAAGUUUUAAUGAGCCUUUGAAAAAUGCUUUGAACAACUACAAUUUUCUCUUCUUGUUUUGAGUAAAGAAGCAACUGACUUUUCUAACUCUGUAACAAUCCACAAUUCUGGUCAUACUCGGUAAUCUGGCCACUUCUUGCCUGCACUUGUAAUAUCUUACAGGAAGGAGCAACUAGUACAUGUUGACAAUAGAAUUUUACAGUUACUUCCUCUGGAAUUAGGGGCUUAGUAGGCGAGUGGUCUGUCCUUCAAAGUAUCGCAGAUGACAAUUUUGUCAAAUAUUUUUGCCUCUGCAUACAAGGACACUGGAUUUCCAGUAAAGAAUGUCAGUUUUCUUAUCUCUUAACCACUGAGACAAUGACAUAUAUUUUGAGUUUUUAUAAUGGCAAUACCAUGCUUUUGGAAUCAAUUUCUGUAUUACUUAGAGUAAGGCUAUAGAUGAGUAACAAAGAGACCCCUCAAUAAUCCCAUAUGUUUAAGAAGACUGAACUUAGGUCUUCUUCAGUUAACAGUCCAGGUUGGUUCUGCCUCACGUGAUCACUCAGGGAUCCAACUUCACUUCAUUUUGUUGCUCUUCCAUUCCCUAGGCCUUGAUACGAUCUGCUUAAUCAAGGUUGCCUCAUUGCCUUGUCAGGGUCUUGGUGGGUGAGAAGGGAGAGGAGACUGGGGAGGAGACAGACCCAGGUCUUAAGGUGCAGGCCUGGCAAGGCACACAGCACUUCUGCUCACAUUCCUUUGGAAGACAUUUAACGGUUGGCUGUAUCUAACUCCAAGGAAGGCUGGGAGAUGUGACAAGGAUAAAGGGAAGAACAGAACUGGGUGGACCAUUAAGGUUAUUUUACCCCCAAAUUUUCAGUCUCAAGCCUUCAACUUAGUUUGCAGCUCUGGAAAUAGAUUGAGACUCAGGAUACUGGUGACAAAACCAGAGCUUCAUAGAAGUCCAAAAAUACCAGAAGACCUCCUUUCAUGUUUAAUACCUAUGAAAAAGCCAUGUAAUUUCACAAGCAUCUGGCUAACGCAGUGGAGCCCUGAAAUCUUAAACAACGUUUAGCAGGCCAGAUAAAGCAAAAAGAAACUAAUUGUGCAGGUCUCAUUAUUACUAGUUUCACAUCUAUAAAAUUUCAUAGAUAUGUUCUUCAAUAAAAAAAGAAUAUGAAGAUGAUGAAGAAGAAGAAGAGAGAGAAAAAGAAAGAAAGAAAGACAAACUCAGAGGAAUGAAUAAAGAAGAUGUGAUACAUAUAUACAGUGGAAUAUUGCUCAGCCAUCAAAGUGAAGUCGCUCAGUUGUGUCCGACCCUUUGCGACCCAAUGGACUGUAGCCUACCAGGCUCCUCUGUCCAUGGGAUUCUCCAGACAAGAGUACUGGAGUGGGUUGCCAUUUCCUUCUCCAGGGGAUCUUCCCAACCCAGGGAUCGAACCCUGGUCUCCCGCAUUCCAGGCAGACGCUUUAACCUCUGAGCCACCAGGGAAGCCCAUAAAACAAAACUGUGCCAUUUGCAGAGAUGUGGAUGGACCUAGAGACUCAUACAGAGUGAAGUAAGUCACAAAGAGAAAAACACAUAUCAUAUAAUAUUGCCUAUAUGUGGAAUCUAGAAAAUGAUACAGAUGAACUUAUUUGCAAAGCAGAAAUAGAGACAGAGACAUAGAGAACAAACGUAUGAAUAUGAAGGAUGGCAGGGGUGUAGGAUGAUUUGGGAGACUGGGAUUUACACAUACAAACUACUAUGUAUACAACAUAAUUAAUGAGGACUUACAAAAUUGAAAAUUAAAAAAUAAAAAAGAAUGUGACUUCCAUCUCAGAAAAAAAAAGAGACAAACCCAGCACCACAC
ensembl:lncRNA